rnacentral:rRNA from 1 species
GACGAACGCUGGCGGCGUGCCUAAUACAUGCAAGUUGAGCGAUGAAGAUUGGUGCUUGCACCAAUUUGAAGAGCAGCGAACGGGUGAGUAACGCGUGGGGAAUCUGCCUUUGAGCGGGGGACAACAUUUGGAAACGAAUGCUAAUACCGCAUAACAACUUUAAACAUAAGUUUUAAGUUUGAAAGAUGCAAUUGCAUCACUCAAAGAUGAUCCCGCGUUGUAUUAGCUAGUUGGUGAGGUAAAGGCUCACCAAGGCGAUGAUACAUAGCCGACCUGAGAGGGCGAUCGGCCACAUUGGGACUGAGACACGGCCCAAACUCCUACGGGAGGCAGCAGGAGGGAAUCUUCGGCAAUGGACGAAAGUCUGACCGAGCAACGCCGCGUGAGUGAAGAAGGUUUUCGGAUCGUAAAACUCUGUUGGUAGAGAAGAACGUUGGUGAGAGUGGAAAGCUCAUCAAGUGACGGUAACUACCCAGAAAGGGACGGCUAACUACGUG